rnacentral:rRNA from 1 species
UACGGGGGGAGCAAACGUUGUUCGGAAUCACUGGGCGUAAAGGGCGCGUAGGCGGCAGGCCAAGCGUGCGGUGAAAGUCCGGGGCUCAACCCCGGAUCUGCCGUGCGGACUGGUUUGCUAGAGCACUGUAGAGGCGAGUGGAAUUCCGGGUGUAGCGGUGGAAUGCGUAGAGAUCCGGAAGAACACCGGUGGCGAAGGCGGCUCGCUGGGCAGUGGCUGACGCUGAGGCGCGACAGCGUGGGGAGCAAACAGG